AGGAGGAGCUGCAGUGUUGACAUAUGAGGACGGCUCUGGCAGAAUUUUUACAUGUUCUGGGAUUUAUCCAGGUUGAACUUGGCUGUGGAUCUAAAUCUGACCUGGAUUCAUAUCAUGGUGCUGCUCUCCACUCUGCAUCCAGUGUUGCGGAUGAGGACGGAGGUUUGGCCUGCCUCUUGAGGACUCUCAUUGAUUGUGGACAGGAGUGGCAGCAGCAGGCGUGGCAGCCUCGUGGCAUUUUCAGAUUGCCUCUUACGUGCCGCAGCGACAUUCCUCUGUGACCCAGCCUGCCGGUCAAGCACCGUCCAAGUGACAAAAUCCUCCACAACCCUCUCCACAUCCCGCGGUGUUAAGGGACCAAACGUGAUUGUGGGCACUUGUCACGCUACACCCCCCUGUCUGUGGAGCUGCAUGAAAAAAGAAGGUAAACCGAUGGAAAGAUCAGACUGAAGUUGGAUCAGAGAGGCAGAAUCAUAGCCCUUCAUCUCCUGUGGAAAUAUAAUAGAAACAAAAAAAAGCUACGGAUGCCGCCAUCUUUGGGUCCAAGAGAUCCUGCAGGAGACCAUUCAGCGUCUCCUUGGUUUCUCUUUUUCAUCGUGAUGAUGAACUUUCACCUUGUGCAUACGUCGCCAUAUGAUCUGGGCUCUGACUGGUCAAGGCACCGCAACAUGAUGCUGGAGGUC